UACGUAGGGUGCAAGCGUUGUCCGGAAUUAUUGGGCGUAAAGAGCUCGUAGGCGGUCUGUCGCGUCGGCUGUGAAAACUCGGGGCUCAACCCCGAGCCUGCAGUCGAUACGGGCAGACUAGAGUGCUGUAGGGGAGACUGGAAUUCCUGGUGUGGCGGUGAAAUGCGCAGAUAUCAGGAGGAACACCGGUGGCGAAGGCGAGUCCCUGGACAAUUCCUGACACUGAGGCACGAAAGCUAGGGGAGCAAACAGG
rnacentral:rRNA from 1 species